CAGCACCUCGAGUGGUCAGGAGGUUUAUUGGGCCUAAAGCAUCCGUAGCCGGUUGUUUAAGUCUUCGGUUAAAUCUAUGCGCUUAACGUAUAGGCCGCCGAAGAUACUGGACAGCUAGGGAGUGGGAGAGGUACACGGUACUCAAUAGGAAGGGGUAAAAUCCUUUGAUCUAUUGAUGACCACCUGUGGCGAAGGCGGUGUACCAGAACACGUUCGACGGUGAGGGAUGAAAGCUGGGGGAGCAAACCGGAUUAGAUACCCGGGUAGUCCCAGCUGUAAACGAUGCAGACUCGGUGAUGCAUUGGCUUGUGGCCAAUGCAGUGCCGCAGGGAAGCCGUUAAGUCUGCCGCCUGGGAAGUACGUACGCAAGUAUGAA
rnacentral:rRNA from 1 species